UCAAGCAAGGUCACUCUAGAGUCGAGCUGUUUGUUCCAUGUAAAAUGGAGCUGAAAAAUUCGGAAGUGGAGAGGAACAAUAUUGCUCCAUUAGAAGAUCCUCAUGAGAUAUCAAAAAGGUUACUAGAAGAACAUCGCCGAACCAUGGAGGAAUGGUUUCAAGCCCAACUUGACCAUCUGGUUGAGCGGCAACCUUGCGCAAGUGACGCUGUGGCCUUGGAGUGGCUCAUGAAACGAUCUUCUGUCACGAAAACGACUAAAGGAGAGCCUCAAAAACUAAAACCCUAUGAGGAGAGGCGUCUCAAACGAAUUUUGGAUGGAAUGGACAACGCUUAAGAACAAAUAUAAUUAUGCUAAAGAGAUAUCUUAUCAGAGAUAACAAUGUUUCAAUAUCAAAUGCAUGAAUCACAUCAGCUAAAACACCAACAUGAAUCUGAGAAACAAAUUGAAGCGCAAGUUCCAGAUCAAAAAAGAAUCAUACGAUUUGGAGCAAUUGAACCAAGAUGGAACAGUUCCUCAAGAGCCAACAAUUACGAAAGACACCAUAUUGGUUUCUAAGAAAAACGGAUACCUUUGUUAUGCUCCAGGCUCGGGGUGCAUAAAUUGGGGUGAAGGACUCCCAAACAAAGUGGACAAGAGCGCGAUCAAGGAAGCCAAAAAAAAUCACAAAACCAUCACCAAGAAAUCCGAGGAGCUGUCAGAAGAGGGCUAUACAUGAUUUUGGAACAUGCCAGUUUAAAAACGUAAUUUUUCCCCCUGAGUGCAAAAUAAACAAUUGGUAAUUAACUUA